rnacentral:rRNA from 1 species
AACGAACGCUGGCGGCAUGCCUAACACAUGCAAGUCGAACGAGACCUUCUGUGUUAGUGGCGCACGGGUGCGUAACGUGGUGGAACCUGCCCUUAUGUUCGGAAUAACGUCCCUGAAGGGGUGCGUAUACCGGAUAAUGUCUUCGGACCAAAGAUGUGUGGUCUUUGGAUGGGCCCGCGUUGGAUUAGCUAGUUGUUAGGGUAAAAGCGUACCAAGGCGACGAUCCAUAGCUGGGCUGAGAGGAUGAUCAGCCACACUGGGACUGAGACACGGCCCAGACACCUACGGGAGGCAGCAGUGGGGAAUAUUGGACAAUGGGCGAACACCUGAUCCAGCAAUGCCGCGUGAGUGAUGAAGGCCUUAGGGUUAAAAAACUCUUUUACCCGGGAUGAUAAUGACAGUACCGGGAGAAUAAGCGCCGGCUAACUCCGUG